rnacentral:rRNA from 1 species
ACUCCGUGAAGCUGGAUUCGCUAGUAAUCGCGCAUCAGCCAUGGCGCGGUGAAUACGUUCCCGGGCCCUGUACACACCGCCCGUCAAGCCAUGGAAGCCGGGGGCGCCUGAAGUGCGUUGCCGCAAGGCGCGCCCUAGAGCGAAACCGGUGACUGGGGCUAAGUCGUAACAAGGUAGC